UGCAGUCGAGCGAAUGACGAGGAGCUUGCUCCUCUGAUUUAGCGGCGGACGGGUGAGUAACACGUGGGUAAUCUGCCUGUAAGACGGGGAUAACUCCGGGAAACCGGGGCUAAUACCGGAUAAUAAGAAGAAACGCAUGUUUCUUUUUUGAAAGUCGGUUUCGGCUGACACUUACAGAUGAGCCCGCGGCGCAUUAGCUAGUUGGUGAGGUAACGGCUCACCAAGGCGACGAUGCGUAGCCGACCUGAGAGGGUGAUCGGCCACACUGGGACUGAGACACGGCCCAGACUCCUACGGGAGGCAGCAGUAGGGAAUCUUCGGCAAUGGGCGAAAGCCUGACCGAGCAACGCCGCGUGAGCGAUGAAGGCCUUCGGGUCGUAAAGCUCUGUUGUUAGAGAAGAACAAGUACGAGAGUAACUGCUCGUACCUUGACGGUACCUAACCAGAAAGCCACGGCUAACUACGUGCCAGCAGCCGCGGUAAUACGUAGGUGGCAAGCGUUAUCCGGAAUUAUUGGGCGUAAAGCGCGCGCAGGCGGUCUCUUAAGUCUGAUGUGAAAGCCCACGGCUCAACCGUGGAGGGUCAUUGGAAACUGGGAGACUUGAGUGCAGGAGAGAAAAGUGGAAUUCCACGUGUAGCGGUGAAAUGCGUAGAGAUGUGGAGGAACACCAGUGGCGAAGGCGGCUUUUUGGCCUGUAACUGACGCUGAGGCGCGAAAGCGUGGGG
rnacentral:rRNA from 1 species